rnacentral:misc_RNA from 1 species
CUGAGUGAAGGCCCCCUCGCGGGCCUAUCCUCCCACCCUUGUCUCUAUGAUACCCUGUUGCUUCGGCGAGCCCACUGGUCUUCCAGUCGCCGGGGGGCAUCUUGUCCCCGGGCCUGUGCUCGCCGAAGCGCCUAUUGAACCCUGAUGAAGAUGGGCUGUCUGAGUAUAAUGAAAAUUGUCA